CGAGAACUCCAACUAUCCGGACGGCUCGACGGGCCUGGACCUCUCUCUCCUCCCCAAGCAGGGACGCCUCUUUGGUGCCACGGCACGAUUUGGAUUCCCGCACGACACCCUCGAGUGAGGUUUUUGUGGAGUAUCCAAGUAACAGCGAAGGAGCGGUGCAGUUAGCAAGGCGUCUUCCCUGGUCCCUGCCUAUGAGCGCUAACUCUACAGAGUCAGGCGCAGCGGCGAUGGUGUCUCAAGGGACAGGCAGAGAAUCAGAGUAGCUAUCCAGGUGUCCGCAAGCUGCACGUGUUUGGCCGGGGGGUUGAAUCGGAGGAUCCAGAUUCCAUUGUAGUAGAGAGCUCUGGAAGGAGAAGAAUGUUAAGCGAAGCAGGAGAGAUGGACUGUCAAUGUGCCUGAGCUAAUAACUGUCACUGCUCUGAGUCCUUGCUGUGGCGAUAGUGCAUCACUGGAAACCUAUGUGUUAAUGCCUAAUGUUGUUGUUCUUUAAAGAAAGUAACAAUAAAGGUGAA